rnacentral:lncRNA from 1 species
GCUUGUCCUAUUUAGGAUCUGUUUGGAUGAAUCGACUGAAAAUCUCAUUUGAUUUGUAGAUUGGGUUAAUACAACCACUUAGAUAGUAGGAUUAUAGGUUGGCCUUAGCGUAGAUACGUGAAUAAUUAAAAAUGGAUUAGGCUAGUAUAACAAGAUAGACCUUAUCAGGUCUUUUUUUCUUCAUAUAGAAUUCAAGCCGGCGCACUCC